GCUGACGCUGUUCCUGUUCCUGUUCCUGUCUCGUUCCAUGCCCGUUCUUUAUUAACUGUUUUACUCCUCGUACCUGCUUCGUCUCUCCAGCUUCAUCCCUUGUGACAGUUUUUCAGACAGUUGUUUUCAGAGACACACCACACAUGCUCAGACACACACACACAUCCACCAGGACCGGAUGGCUCUUGUGUAGAGAUAGAGAGAAACAGAUCGGGGAGACAGACAGAGAUAUUUAAUUCAUUGAAGCCUCACACACCCAGAGGGCCAGAAGAAGAGCUGUCAUUCAUUAAAGGGCCCUCGUUUGCUUGUAACCUCUGACCCCAACUGUGCAUCCUAGCCUGGUGUCACACACACCCCAACGAGGGUUAUAC